CGAAGGCAAGCGGAUCUCUUAAAGCCGUUCUCAGUUCGGACUGUAGGCUGCAACUCGCCUACACGAAGCUGGAAUCGCUAGUAAUCGCGGAUCAGCACGCCGCGGUGAAUACGUUCCCGGGCCUUGUACACACCGCCCGUCACACCAUGAGAGUCUGUAACACCCAAAGCCGGUGGGAUAACCUUUAUAGGAGUCAGCCGUCUAAGGUAGGACAGAUGAUUAGGGUGAAGUCGUAACAAGGUAUC
rnacentral:rRNA from 1 species